rnacentral:piRNA from 1 species
UCAGUUCGAAGGUUUUUUUUU